rnacentral:lncRNA from 1 species
AGAAAAAUGAGAUCCACCGGCCGCGUUGGCUCCACUGGCUAAGACUCUACUGAUCCUCAACGAAGAUGUGAAGGGUUCAAAAUCCAGGGGAGGCGCUAGGGGUAUUAAGUGUGACUCAUAAGUGGUGGGUCCUCCUGCUUAAGUGUCACCUUGGGGUUUACGAUGCGGCUGUCGGCUUCAAGCCGGUUCUUUCCAGCACCAAAAAAAAAAAAAAAAUGAGAUCCAACAUCCAUGGGUGAAAUUGCAAGGACUUCACGUUCGUGACUCGUCACGGGCCUGCACUUCGGCCGGCUUCGUUGAUGAAAUUCGUCCUCAACACUGCCUUCAGCAUCACCAUUCUUCAUAUGAGUAGAUCAAGUCGGCGGGUUCCCAAAUCUCCAGGAGUUGAUUAUAGGAUGGUGAUCCAAAAUGGAUACGACGGAGAUCUGGAAUUCCAAGAAAGUUGCGCUCGUGAUAAUGAAAUUGAAUAGGGCGACUGCGGUUCUGAGAGAGGGGAGGAGGUCUUUAAUCUGCUGCUAGGAAAAGGAAACUUUUCGUCCAUCGUUCUCUUUUCCUCGCAUCUCUGGAUAGAAAUCCGGAUAAUUGUGAUGGCUCAACUC